rnacentral:rRNA from 1 species
CGGCGGACGGGUGAGUAAUGCCUAGGAAUCUGCCUGGUAGUGGGGGACAACGUUUCGAAAGGAACGCUAAUACCGCAUACGUCCUACGGGAGAAAGCAGGGACCUUCGGGCCUUGCGCUAUCAGAUGAGCCUAGGUCGGAUUAGCUAGUUGGUGAGGUAAUGGCUCACCAAGGCGACGAUCCGUAACUGGUCUGAGAGGAUGAUCAGUCACACUAGAACUGAGACACGGUCCAGACUCCUACGGGAGGCAGCAGAU